UGCCUCAAGUGACAAUAGCUACUGCAAUGAUGUUGUGCCAUCGCUUUUACAUGCGCCAAUCUCAUGCAAAGAACCACUGGCAGAUUGUCGCAACUGUGAGCAUGUUCCUUGCUGGUAAAGCUGAAGAAACACCACGCUGGCUGAGUGAUCUUGUUGUUGUUGCCUACAAGCUUGUAUAUAAAUGGGAUCCAUCAGCUCCGCUGAGGAUCAGGCAGAAGGAUAUUUAUGAUAAGGAAAAAGAAUCAGUUGUAGCUGGUGAGAGAAUGUUGCUUGUCACAGUUGCUUUUGAUCUUAGCAUCCAACAUCCUUACAAGGCACUUGUUGCUGCUAUGAAGAGGUUGGAAAUUUCUAACAAUGAGAUGGUCAAAGUAGCCUGGAAUUUUGUGAAUGAUUGGCUUCGCACAACACUGUGCUUGCAGUACAAGCCCCAUUAUGUCGCUGCUGGUUCCAUGUUCCUUGCUGCUAAAUUUCUGAAGGUGAAAUUGCCUGCCAAAAAAGGGAAUCCCUGGUGGAUGCAGUUUGACGUUGCUCCGAAGAAGUUAGAAGAGGUUAUUCAAAAGAUGCUUCAGUUACUGGAGCAGAAUCAGAAACAAGUAACACCAUCCACUUCCAGCAAGUUGACCGAAUCAAAACCUGUUGCUGAAAAGGCUACAUCAAGCAUCGCAGAGUCUUGUAUCUCAAGUGUGUCAGUUGUUGCUCAAGAAUCCAGGAAUAUUGGAUUGGUAAAGACUAGAGGACUAUCUACAUCUGUGACAUCCAAAUUCAUUGAGAAAGCAUCCUGCAACAGCAUCAACACUGUCAAAGAGGAGACAGAGCAUUGGGAGACUAGUGAGUGUGGUAGUGCAAACAGUGCAGUUGAGAAUGGUGUUUGUCAGCCAGUAAAGAAUGAGGGCGGAAAAGAAAUUUGCCAUGCUGUCUCUGUUAGUGAUCACAAUGGAAAAUUUGAUAUUGAUCGAAUCAAGGAGAGAUUGAAGAGACGGAAAUUGGAGCAGAGUUCAAUGAAGAAAUCAUCCAUGUAUGACGAGAUCGAUAGUGAGGGUUGGAUUGAGAGAGAGCUGGAAAAUUUGGAAUAGUGUCACUUUAUGCUUGUCCAUUCGAUGAAAUAGUUUUUGUGGUAGUAUAAGCAGAAAAAGAAAACAGGAUCACACUUAUAUGAUGCACUGUAAUUAGGAAGGUGCAGAUGUGAAAACUUUCAGCUAAGAAGUUAGAAAUUCAGAAACUGCUCCCAGCUAUGGUAACAUAUCUAUCUUGGUUCAACUCUUGUUUAGCAGAUAAUGGACCCCCAUACAAGGUCUACUGUGCAUAAUAUUGGCUCUUCAUGCCUUGACGUUUUUUAAUAUAAAGGGUGUGAUUUU
rnacentral:misc_RNA from 1 species